rnacentral:tRNA from 1 species
UGGGUUGUGGCUCAGUGGUAGAGUACUCGCCUAGCAUGUGUGAAGCCUUGGGUUCGAUCCUCAGCAUCACAU